rnacentral:rRNA from 1 species
AACGAACGCUGGCGGCAUGCCUAACACAUGCAAGUCGAACGAGACCUUCGGGUCUAGUGGCGCACGGGUGCGUAACGCGUGGGAACCUGCCCUUAGGUUCGGAAUAACUCCCCGAAAGGGGUGCUAAUACCGGAUAAUGUCUUCGGACCAAAGAUUUAUCGCCUUUGGAUGGGCCCGCGUUGGAUUAGCUAGUUGGUAGGGUAAAAGCCUACCAAGGCGACGAUCCAUAGCUGGUCUGAGAGGAUGAUCAGCCACACUGGGACUGAGACACGGCCCAGACUUCUACGGGAGGCAGCAGUGGGGAAUAUUGGACAAUGGGCGAAAGCCUGAUCCAGCAAUGCCGCGUGAGUGAUGAAGGGCUUAGGGUUGUAAAGCGCUUUUACCCGGGAUGAUAAUGACAGUACCGGGAGAAUAAGCUCCGGCUAACUCCGU